CCUACGUGUGGCAGCAGUGAGGAAUAUUGGUCAAUGGGCGCGAGCCUGAACCAGCCAAGUAGCGUGAAGGAUGACUGCCCUACGGGUUGUAAACUUCGUUUAUAAAGGAGUAAAGUGAGGCACGUGUGCCUUUUUGUAUGUACUUUAUGAAUAAGGCUCGGCUAACUCCGUGCCAGCAGCCGCGGUAAUACGGAGGAUCCGGGCGUUAUCCGGAUUUAUUGGGUUUAAAGGGAGCGUAGAUGGGUUGUUAAGUCAGUUGUGAAAGUUUGCGGCUCAACCGUAAAAUUGCAAUUGAUACUGGCAGUCUUGAGUACAGGUGAGGUAGGCGGAAUUCGUGGUGUAGCGGUGAAAUGCUUAGAUAUCACGAAGAACUCCGAUUGCGAAGGCAGCUUACUAAACUGCCACUGACAUUGAUGCUCGAAAGUGUGGGUAGCAAACAGGAUUAGAUACCCGAGUAGUC
rnacentral:rRNA from 1 species